rnacentral:tRNA from 3 species
GGGCCUGUAGCUCAGCUAGGUAGAGCGUCCGACUCUUAAUCGGACGGCCAAGGGUUCGAAUCCCCUCAGGCCCGCCA